GAACCUUUGAAAACACUGCAGGGCCUUUCAUAAGACCCAGUGGGGAAUUUUUGGAGCCCUUACAGGAGUAAGGGUA
rnacentral:snRNA from 1 species